GACGAACGCUGGCGGCGUGCUUAACACAUGCAAGUCGAACGGAAAGGCCCUGCUUUUGUGGGGUGCUCGAGUGGCGAACGGGUGAGUAACACGUGAGUAACCUGACCUUGACUUUGGGAUAACUUCAGGAAACUGGGGCUAAUACCGGAUAGGAGCUCCUGCUGCAUGGUGGGGGUUGGAAAGUUUCGGCGGUUGGGGAUGGACUCGCGGCUUAUCAGCUUGUUGGUGGGGUAGUGGCUUACCAAGGCUUUGACGGGUAGCCGGCCUGAGAGGGUGACCGGCCACAUUGGGACUGAGAUACGGCCCAGACUCCUACGGGAGGCAGCAGUGGGGAAUAUUGCACAAUGGGCGGAAGCCUGAUGCAGCAACGCCGCGUGCGGGAUGACGGCCUUCGGGUUGUAAACCGCUUUCGCCUGUGACGAAGCGUGAGUGACGGUAAUGGGUAAAGAAGCACCGGCUAACUACGUG
rnacentral:rRNA from 1 species